ensembl:lncRNA
GUAUUUCUGACAGGAGUGGAGAAAUGCCUCUGUAUGUGGGGGGAUGCGGGAUGUAUUUCUGACAGGAGUGGAGAAAUGCCUCUGUGGAGAGAUGCUGGAUGUAUUUCUGACAGGAGUGGAGAAAUGCCUCUGUAUGUGGAGAGAUGCUGGAUGUAUUUGAAUGGGACUAUUAACUUGUUUCCAAUGUCUUGGAAAAGGCAGGUGGUAGAAUUUACAGUGGCAGUAAGUUUCAUGCAUAACGUUGUAUUGCGUUGUAGCUCUCUGGGUGGGUUAUCUCUGCUUAUAUUAGGGAUUGAUAUGUAGUUUAGAAAGGUGGUAGGAGACAGUACUGUGUUUUUAUUAAUGAGAGACUGAUCUGUGGCGAGAUAGGGAUGAGAACGGUCCAACUGUUUUUUUUUUUAUAGAUUCCGUGGCCCUGGCCAUUUCUUCAAAGGUGCCCACUUGAAAGGAACCACUGUGCUGACCACAAUGUCUGUAUAAUGAGAGAGAUCAGGACCUUUCUACAGAGAGCAGGCUGUAUACAUGCACCGGAACAAGUGGCCAUAUUGGAACGGAUUCAAACCAAGCUGUUGACAUUGAGAGGAUUUAUCAUUAAGUUUGCCGAUAACACAACAGUGGUAGGUCUGACAACAACAACGAUGAGACAGCCUAUAGGGAGGUGGUCAGAAACCUGCCUGUGUGGUGCCAGGACAACAACCUCUCCCUCAACGUGAUCAAGACAAAGGAGAUGAUUGUGGACUACAGGAAAAGGAGGGCCGAGCAUGCCCUCAUUCUCAUCGACGGGGCUGCAGUGGAGCAGGUUGAGAGCUUCAAGUUCCUUGGUGUCCACAUCAACAACAAACUAUCAUGGUUCAAACACACCCAGACAGUUGUGAAGAGGGUACGACAACACCUCAGGAGACUGAAAAGAUUUGGCAUGGGUCCUCAGAUCUUCAAAAGGUUCUACAGCUGCACCAUCGAGAGCAUCCUGACUGGAUGCAUCACUGCCUGGUAUGGCAACUGC